GCAACAUGCAAACUCCCUCAUAGAUUGCAGGAGUGCAGCACUGACAGGCUGGGAGUACGAGCAAGCGGACGAGGCGCCAGUCGAAGGGCGAACAAGGCAACAGAACAUCCAGCAUGGUGGGAAGGAGACGUGGCUCCAGAGCCAACAGCGGACCACACCGGCCCCAACAGCAAUGCAGUGGGGGACCCCGCAAGACUCUGAGGGAGCCAGCAUUAUUUGCCAAGAAAACAGGAUAUGAGUCAGAAGUUCCUCAUGAAAAGAUGACCAUCGUCCAGGCCAAGAGAGGCACUCCAGCAGUCCGGCCAGUGCGAGUCUAUGCCGAUGGGAUCUUUGACCUCUUCCACUCUGGACACGCUCGUGCUCUGAUGCAAGCGAAGAACUUGUUCCCCAACACACAUCUCAUAGUGGGAGUCUGCAGUGAUGAACUCACACACAAGUAUAAGGGCUACACGGUGAUGACAGAGUCGGAGCGCUACGAAGCCCUGAUACACUGUCGCUAUGUGGAUGAGGUGGUACGGGACGCUCCCUGGACCCUCAGCCCUGACUUCCUGAAGAAACAUAAGAUUGACUUCGUGGCCCAUGACGAUAUCCCAUACACCUCUGCAGGAUCAGAGGAUGUCUACAAACACAUCAAGGAAGCAGGGAUGUUUGUGGCCACACAGAGGACAGACGGCAUCUCUACAUCCGACCUCAUCACCAGGAUAGUGAGAGACUAUGACCUUUAUGUCCGACGCAACCUGCAGAGAGGCUACACAGCCAGAGACCUCAACGUUAGCUUCAUCAGGUGUUGGUGGUUGUGGUUGAUAAACAGAAGAUGCCUUAUAGCCGACCACUUGACUUGUCGUAGGCUGUUCUCUCUGCUAUCGCACGCCAAACGGUCCCGGAGCGCCAAGUCUGGGACCAAAAGGUUCCUGAACAGCUUCAACCCCCAAGCCAUAAGACUGCUGAACAGUUCAUCAAAUGGCCACCGGACUAUUUACAUGGACUUUAUUAUUUGCACUGACUCUCUUGCACUGUCUCUAUGCACACUCACUACUCUACCCACACACUUACACAUACCGUAAUACACUGACACUCCAACACACACACACACACACACAUGUAUAUUGAAGCUACGCACACACACACUCACACAUAGACACACUAUCACACUUCACAUACACUGCUGCUACUGUGUUUAUUAUCUAUCCUGAUUGCCUAGUCACUUUUACCCCUACCUACAUGAACAUACUGUAUUACCUCAACUACCUCGUACCCCUGCAUAUUGACUCAGUACUGGUACUCUUUGUAUAUUGUUGUUAUUGUGUUACUAUUUCCUUCUUUUUUUUAGCAAAUACUUGUCUUACUUUCAAUCUCUGCAUUGUUGGGAAUGGGCUCAUGCGUAAGCAUUUCAAGUAACGUCUACACAUGUCAUUUAUUCUGCAGGAGAAGAAAAUCCGUCUGCAGAACCAGGUGGAUCGUAUGAAGGAGACGGUGAAGACAGUGGAGGAGAAGUCCAAGCACUUUGUGUUCAAGGUGGAGGAGAAGAGCCAUGACCUCAUCCAGAAGUGGGAGGAGAAGUCACGGGAGUUCAUUGGGAAUUUCCUGGAGUUGUUUGGUCCAGAAGGAGCGUGGCAUGUGAUCCAGGAGCAGAGUGGGCGCAUGCUCCAGGCCCUGUCACCCUACGCGUCACCCGUUGCCUCGCCCCGUGGCUCCCCCAGCAGCAGCCCCACCAGAGGGCGCUCCCCAUCGCCCCCCUCCUCUCCCACAUCCCCUUCCUCCCGAUCCCCUCGUUCUCCCCGUUCCCCUCAUUCCUCUCCCACCUCCCCUUCCUCCCGAUCCCCUCAUUCCUCUCCCACCUCCCCUUCCUCUCGCAAGGGUGCCUCUGCCUAUCCCUUAACCUUCCUCGGGGAUGACGAGUAGAGAUGGCACUGUCAUUCCCAAACAAACACAGACCCAAACACUCAGUGUACAUGGUUACUUUGUGCACUUCGUGUAUGUAAGAUGUCGCCCACAGUUUACCAUAUGUGUUAUUUGAUUGUGUAUGUUAAGGUAACUGAAUGCACUGUGGUAUCUCAAUCAGUUGACUCACUCCAUUCUCACUUCUGAUUCCUGUACCACACAAAAACAUACAAAUAAUACCACUUUUUCACUGUCUCCAUUUUGCAUCAACCAGGCUUUAUUUUUUUUAGAAAUACUUAGUGAAACGCUCAAAUUUGCAUUCAGUUGUCUAUGAUAUGCAGUAAAAACAAAACAUUUCGGACAUUUUCUUUUUAAUAUUAAAUACAAAACAAUCAUU